rnacentral:lncRNA from 1 species
GUCCAGUACUGGUAAUGUCACUUAAUUGCUGUGUGAUUGCUUAAUCUUAAGCAAGUUUUUUUUUUUUUUCUUUUAAUCCUCUAGGCCUCAAGUUCCUCAUCUGUAUAAUGAAAAGAUGAUAAAACUUCAUAGAGUUGUUCUGAAGAUGAAAUGAGACAAUAUCUAUGAAAUACUAGGAAGAGAUUGGGCCAGUAGAGACUUUUGAUUAAUAUUAGUCAUUAUUAGCAUCAUCACAAUUACUUUAAGUUUCAACAUUAUCUUUAUUAUUUUUAGUGUGAAUAAUGAAGAUAAUAAUAAUAGUCUUAACAGGGAAAAUUUCCCUAGACAUUUGUUGGGAAAGAUGGCUAAGAGAGGAAGUCUGAAUUUUGUGCCUGGUCCCUGCCAGCUCCAUGAUGUGUUUGAGACUGUGACUCAGGACAGGAAUAGGCUCAGAGUGCUCCUUGGUGUCACCCACCGGCCACUAUCAGGUCCUGUGCUUCGUGUAUACUUUCGAAGCAGGAUUCAGAGCUUUGCAGGACACUCUUUGUAGAUGGAACAUACAGGUGAAGAAGGGGAUCCUGAAUCUGGAAGGAGACUAUCUCAAAGAACAAAGAGACUGUCUACUAAAAUGUGUCCAGGGAGGUUUGGGAAGUUCGAGCAAGUUGACCAUUGUUGAGUCCAAGAGGUAGGGCUGGAAUGGUUUAUUUGGAAAAGUUGACAUUUUUACCAGUUAUAAGGUAAUCUCUCUGCAGAAAGGCUGAAUUAUAAAGAGAAUGAAAAAGACUGAAAGAAUUCAUUUCUUUUUUCUCAAGAGAAAAAAAAAAGGAAUGUGAAUAAGUACUAUGAAAUAGCAUUAACUAGUUGAUUACAACUAUGUUGCCUGAGGAGUGGGAUGGAACAGUAAGCUUUGACGAUUUGCUUGACAUUCUACUUGAACUAUAUCCUUUCCUCCUCAGUCUUACUCCCUUUCUGUGUGUGUUUGUGUGUGUGUGUCCCUCUCUUUCUCUCUGUUUCUCCUUUAAAUUUAGUUAAUACCUUCUGGGUGGCUGCUAUGUGCAAAAUACCAUGUUCGGCCCAUUGGUCACAAUGAAGAGCAGAAUGGCACACCACCCCUGGCCAGCUCAGAAAUUGUGGUAACAGGAAAGAGUACGUAUUUUUCACUGCAACUUAACUAAUUGGGAUUCUGAUUUAUGCAUCAUUUUCAGAUGAUUCUCUUAAUGUGAGUCUCCAAGAGAUUGAUUAUCCAGAUAUAUGGACCGAAUUGAGUUUUGACUCAGCUGAGAGCCAAGCCACCGUCCCUGGAGACCCAUGGAAGACACUCUCACCCUAGGCAUCGCCUCUGGGUGCUCAGGGGGCCUCUCUGAGAACUCUAGCCCAUUCUUAUUACUUUCAGCAGGAGAGUGCAGUUCUUACACCAAGUCAUAAAUACCACCCUCAUUGAAAAGUAUGAAAAAAUAAAUGUUGACUUUUGCUUUUGCUUUUAAUGGCA